ensembl:lncRNA
AUAAGCUUUGCUGUCCGAUCCAUGCAGUUAUAGAAAAUUAAUCAACAUUUUUGUCCAAUAGGAUCAACUAAAUAAAUAAUACUGUUGGUCAUGUACAAUAAAUACACAAUGAGAUUGGUUUCAAUGAGUGCAUUGCAAGCAGUGCAGUAAUAUUUGAGGUCUAGUGUGAUUACUCCUCGGAAAAACACUCCUUAAUUGCUGACAUUGAACAUGAAGUUGAACUAUAAACUAAAUACAUUUUAUGUGCAAAAUCAUUAAAACAUUUCCUCGAGAUUACCUCAACUAACUUAUAACUCAGUUUAAUCUUAUAUUAAGUACUAUUUUUACACAAUGAGGAAAGCGUUUUGUGUGUUCUGAUAUCCCAGAUCAGUCAGGCCACAGUCACUGCGCCGAUUUGAACAUAUCGGAUCUUAGUUCCAAAUCAAAGCACUUCUAUUUCCUGUCAGAAUUGGUGUUCAAAGCAGAUAUGAACAAAGCUUGUUCUGUCAUUUCGUGAGCUGCUGCUCUGUGUGUCAAAGCAGGAGGAUGAAAAGAAGCCAAAGCAGAUUAAUACUGUAUAAUCUAACCAGUAGUCAUUUUGCAUUACCUCAGCCUCUUUUCUUUUUCUUUUUUUUUAUCAUUAUCAUUUGUCUUCUUGUUUUAAAAGACAGACAACACAGAGUUCAUUCUGACAAUCUGACACAAAGAGUUUGUUUAAGAGAAAUGGAUCUAGGGUGGUAAUUGUUAGUGUGUGUGUGUGUACUGUGUCUCAUCACUACAGCCAACCAUACUGCUAGAUUUUUAGUGCUUUAAACUGGUAAUUAAAGUAAAAAGACACAGUUUUGCAUGUGUUUUUCUUUUGAAAUGUAUAGACUCAUGCUACGGCUAGUGAUACGGCUAAUUAAAUGUAUGUUACAUUUUACCACUCUUCCACAUGUUCUUUAGUGGAAUGGAAGCUUGGUUAUUUUUCUUGACAUGAUUUGGUCUUAGCCAGUGUGCCAGAGCACACUGCUGCCAUGCUGCAGUCAGGCUGUGUGCUUGAAUCCAGAGUCAAUGGAGGCAUAGGUUUUGAUCACUGACACACCCCUAUAUAUAGCUUGAAAAGUGCCUUGAGACUCUAUGCACAGGAGGAGGUUCAGACCCAGACCAAUGCAGAGUGUGAGGAGCUUGCACAUCAGGACGAGUGGAUUCAGCUGAGCUGAUGGUGUGACACUCAAAGAAUUCUGACACUGAGGAUUUUGCCUGCAGAUAUGGCUUUGGGUAAUAUAUUGUCUCAUGACAAGGAACUAAGAAAAAUGAUAGAGAGUUUGGAGUUUAUGACUCGAGACAAAAGCAAGACAUCCCUAAUUAUGUUAGUGGCUUUCAACAGUUAUGACAAAACAGGACUGAGUGUGGGUUAUCUUCAUAAAGUAGGAUUCUCACAGUGAAGGAUUCAAAAAUACCAACACACUUUAAUCCUAUACACACAGAUGGGCUUUUUUUUGGAUGCUGGCUGGAGAUGCAAAAUGAAGAUAUGGACAUUUUAUUUAGAUUUUUAAAAAGAAAUGUAAAGCAUGCAGCAGGACCACUGAGCCAGCAAUGAAUAAUUUGUUUUUCUAUCAGCCAAAGGAAAAUGUCAUUCAAAAGUACUAACAAAUAAGUACCCUGAAAAUAAAAGUGCUAUAAUGACAAACUAUAAUUGCACCAAAUAUUUAAAAAAUAAUAAUAAUAAUAAAAUAAAUACAAUACUGUUGUUUUGUUUUAUUCCUUUAUGGGGUUUUUUUUGUUGUUGUUUUUUUGAUAGGAGUCCACAGUCCAUCCAUUUUACAGACCGUUUAUCCUACAAAGGGUCGCAUGGGAUCCUAUAGCCUAUCCCAGGGCGCUCGGGGCACAAGAACCCCCAACCCCAGAGGUGCGAGCAAACAUGCUAACCACUAAGCUGUCAUACCCCUUGAUCAGUUUCCACGGAUCCAUCCCCCAGUGUGAAUGAUAACAGCAAGGCUAAACUCAUACCUUUCUUCUGAGUCACCUAGAGAACUCGGCUGUCUCUUUGGAGUCAGAUUAAUGACUGAGUGGUUAGUGUUUGCCUUUUUGUCUAAGACCUUAAAAUUCUUAGUUAUCUGUAGCACCAAGAAAGUAACACAAAAAACAGUCAAGGACAUUA